CUACCAAGACAGUGACGGUUGACGGGGAAUGAGGGUUCGAUACCGGAGAGGGAGCCUGAGAGACAGCUCCCACGUCCAAGGACGGCAGCAGGCGCGAAAAUUGCCCACUCUUUGCAGGAGGCAGUUACGAGACGUGAGAGAGAAUAUCUGGUAAAGAGGGAUAGGAGAAUUGGAGGGCAAGUUUGGUGCCAGCAGCCGCGGUAAUACCGACUCCAAGAGUGUGUGUGAGAGAUGCUGCAGUUAAAAAGUCCGUAGUCAUAGGAGAGGAAACAGAGACGGAGUCUCGUGUUUGCGUGGUUGAGGAGCCGGUGGGGAGCACAGUAUACCAGGGCGAGAGAUGAAAUGCCAAGACCCCUGGUGGACUGAGCGAGGCGAAAGCGGUGCUCUGGCAGGUGUUCGGUGAUCAAGGACGAAGGCUGGAGUAUCGAAAGUGAUUAGAUACCGCAGUAGUUCCAGCAGUAAAAGAUGCC
rnacentral:rRNA from 1 species